UCGGGAUAACACCUGGAAACAGAUGCUAAUACCGGAUAACAACAGAUGAUGCCUAUCAACUGUUUAAAAGAUGGUUCUGCUAUCACUCUUGGAUGGACCUGCGGUGCAUUAGCUAGUUGGUAGGGUAACGGCCUACCAAGGCGAUGAUGCAUAGCCUAGUUGAGAGACUGAUCGGCCACAUUGGGACUGAGACACGGCCCAAACUCCUACGGGAGGCAGCAGCU
rnacentral:rRNA from 1 species